GGGAGUGUAAGAUUGGGGAAGAAGAGGCCAUGAAUAUGCUGGGGUGUUAAUUUGGGUGAUUUUUGGGUGGUGGCGCCGCCGGUCACGGCGAAGGGUCAGGGUUUCUGACCAAUAUUCGAGAAGCUCAGGCAGGAUUCGAAGGACGGGGUUUGGAGAUUUGGAAAGAGGAGAAGGAGAGGAAUAUGGGGUGCUAAUUUGGUGGCCAUCGGAGACCCACCGUCGUCAUGGGAAAUUUUCGACCGAUGGUUCAUGGCGGUAGACAGCGGGGUUAAGUCUGGUCUUGUGAUAGGUGAUAGAGACGAGGGGAGGGGGGUUCUGAGGGAGAUCCACAGGUUAUGUUAGGAUAAAAAAAGGUCCUUGGGUUAUGCCAGGGAGGUCCACGGGUUAUACUGGGAUGCAAGAUUGGGUUAUGCCAGGGAUGAUCCACAGGUUAUGCCGGAAAAAAAUGAAAAAAGGUCCUUGUGUUAUGCCAGGGAAAUUCACGGGUUCCCGUGAUAAAAGAGAAAAGGGAUCCUUGGGUUAUGCCAGGGAGAUCCACGAGUUAUGCCGGGAUGAAAGAAAAAAGGGUCUUUGGGUUAUGCCAGAGAUGCCACGGGUUAUGCUAGGAUAAAAGAAAAAGGUCCUUGGGUUAUGCCAGGGAGAUCCACGGGUUAUGCCGGGAUAAAAGAGAAAAAGGUUCCUUGGGUUAUGCCAGGGAGAUCCACUGGUUAUGCCGUGAUAAAAGAAAAAAAGGUCCUUGGGUUAUGCCAGAGAGAUUCAUGGGUUAUGCCGAAAUGAAAGAAAGAAGGUCCUUGAGUUAUGCCAGGGAAAUCCACGGGCUAUGCUGGGAUAAAAAGGAAAAAGGGUCCUUGGGUUAUGCCAGGGAGAUCAACGGGUUAUGCCAGGAUAAAAGAAAAAGGUCCUUUGGUUAUGAUAGGGAGAUCCACGGGUUAUGCCAGGAUAAAAGAAAAAAGGGUCUGCUGGGGAUAAAAGGAAAAAUAAUCCUCGGGUUAUGCCGAGGAAAGAAAAGAUCCUCAGGUUAUGCUGGGGAGAAAAGGAGAAUGAUCCUCGGGUUAUGCCGAGGACAAACGAAAUAGGAUCCUUGGGUUAUGCUGGAGAGAAAAAGGAAAGUAAUCCUCGGGUUACGCCGAGGAAAGGAAAAGGAUCCUCAGCUUAUGCUGAGAAAAAGGAAAGUGAUCCUCGGGUUAUACCGGGAAAAGAAAAGAUCCUCGGGUUAUGCUGGGGAUAAAAGGAGAGUGAUCCUCGGGUUAGGCUGGGGACAAAAGAAAAAGGGGCAUCAGGUUAUAAUGAGGAGAAAAGUAGAAUGAUCCUCGGGUUAUGGCAGGGAGAAAAAGGAAAAUGAUCCUCGGUUAGAAAGGAUGCAGCUAGAGAUUGGAGGCCCUAUGUUACCAUUUUCCCUUUCUUCUUCAUUUUUACAAAAUGCAGGAAAGAAUUUGGAUGAAAACUUUCCUUUUAGGUUGAUUAUUGUUGCGAAGUUGUUUCUAGGUCCUGCACAUUUCCCUUUUUGGUUUCACCUGCUUCUUGCACGGCUACUUUGGGUUACACCUAUUUCAAAUUUUCAAACAAAAAACAAUUGUUCAUUCAACAGUGGUUGGUUUUGCGGGUUUGGUUGUUUGAUCACCGAGUCUUGACCCAACUUUUGGUGAGAACUUCCAUCGCUUGCUGGCUUCUCUUGAAGAGUGACCUCUCCCUUAAGACUGAGGAACUCAGCUUUUCAUAAUUGCUCAUGAAAGCUCGCCUACAUGGGGCUUUGGCCCUUUUUCACUUUACUCUGCUUUUAGGACUACUCUCAUUGGGUUUCUUUUUGUUUUCAAUAAUUUUGAUUUCAGAAAAUCAGGAUCCCUUGGUUUUUCAGAUCCUUGCCAAGAUAGUUAGCCACGUGGGACUCAAAACUUUUAACUUCAUUUGGCUUUUGUGGGUAUUUGACAUUGACUUCCUUUUCUUUCAGGAAUUUCUCAAUUUCAAAACAUCAGCCGUCAUGGCCAGUCGGGAUCGGCUUGAUGCACCUGCUAAGGCUGGGUAAAUUUCUUCAACUUUUGCUAAGCAAAACCCAAUAAAUCUAGUCUUGACACCUUUUCCUACUUUCGGGAACAGAGUUAGACCAAAAGGAAUUCAAAGAAAAUUUAAUCAAAGAGCAAGGGAAUGAAUUUAAAGAGAAGCGUCCCUUUCGGGAAGAAAAGAAAGACUUAUUUGGGGUGCAUGCAGGCUUUGAAUAGACAUGACAUGCUUCUUGGACUAGGUGCCUGACCCGCAAAAACUUCUCCGUCUUCUCAUAACUCAUUGAAUCGUGUUCCAAACUAGGGAAUCUUGCUGAGACUUUAUCAAUGGUGGGAAAUUCUUUCUUUUCGACCGACGGCGCCCUUUGCGGGUUUUAACCAAUCGACCUCUCUCAUUUCCCUUCUCACUAUCGCUCGAUAUUGCCCUUUAUAAGAUUUCACUAAACAGACUCUCUCAUUUUUUGUUCCUCUACUCACUGUCGCCUUAUGGUGCCCGUAGAUUUUGACCGAUAAGACUCUCUCAUAUUAAUUCUCUAAACUCGACUUUACCAGAUUCCAAUAGUGUUUCCGAUCCCGCUUCCUUUGCCAAUUGAUCAGAAGGACUUAAAAAAGGUUUGGCUAAAAACAAUCUAGAUGGAAUUACUACUUUGGAACCAUUUUGGUAGGCCCUUUUCCGAGUCGUUAUAUCAUCUACCCUAGUUUUACUUUCUCAGGAAACUUUGUUUUUGGUUUUCUUUUGUUGUUUGUUUUUAUCUUUUUUCUUUGUUUUUUUAUAUUUUCCCUUUUCUUGUCUUUUCUUUCUUUUUUCGUAUUUUUCUCUUCUUCUUUUUUUUGUUUUUUUUUCUUUUUGUUCAUUUUAUUAUUCAAUAACACUUUCAGGUUCCAAAGGGGGUAACUAAAGAAGAAUAACUGGCUCAAAGGGUUUGCAAAGGGUUGAUAAUAUCCGAAUAGUAAGAAUGAAAGCCUUUGUCGUCUCAAUUGAACAAAGCCAUUGUUGUAGAAAGCCUAGACAUUGUACCUUUUUACUGCGUCUGCAUUCACAUCUGUUUCGGGAUCAUUCCCCUUGAUACUGCCUAGAAAUAAUGCUCCUUUCGGCAAUAUUUUUCUGAUGAUGUACGGGCCUUUCCAAUUAGGAGAAAAUUUUCCUUUCUCUUCCUGGUGAUGAAGAAGAAUGCGCCUUAGCACAAGUUUCCCCACUUCAAAAUUUAUGGGCCAUACUUUUUUGUUAUAAGAACAGGCCAUUCUUUGUUGAUACAACUGCCCGUGGCAGACCGCAACCAUACAUUUUUCAUAUAUUAAAGUUAGCUACUCCAAAUGAGUCAUGACCCAUUCAAUGUCAUCAAUCUCGGCUUUAACGAUGAUCUGGGGAGAAGGGAUUUCCACCUCUAUGGGUCUCACGGCCUCAGUUCCAUAGACUAAGAGAUACGGGAUCGCUCUUACUGACGUGCGCACUAUGGUGCGGUAUCCUAGUAAUGCAAAAGGCAACUUUUCAUGCCAUUUCCUGGAGCUCUGAAUCAUCUUUCUCAAAAUCUUCUUGAUGUUUUUAUUUGUUAAUUCAACGGCACCAUUAGCCUUACUUUGAUAAGGAGUAGAGUUCCUACGCGUUAUCUUGAAUUGUUCGCUUAUCUCCUCCAUCAAUCGACUAUCCAGGUUUGCCGCAUUAUCUAUGAUGAUGCUUGCGAGAAUACCAAAUCGAUAGAUAAGAUUGGAGUGCAAAAAUCUAUGACCACUUUCUUGGUGACAGAUUUGGGAGUGAUGGCUUCGACCCACUUUAUGAAGUAAUCAAUGGCAACUAGUAUAAACCUGUGUCCAUUUGAAUCUUUCGGCUCAAUCGUCCCAAUGACAUCCAUGCCCCAAACUAUAAAUGGCCAGGGUGCUGACAUGGGAUGCAGUUAUGUGGGCGGUGCAUAAAUCAAAUCACCGUGCACCUGACACUGAUGGCAUUUUCGGACAAACCUCAAACAAUCCUUUUCCAUGGUUGUCCAAUAAUAAACCGCUCGAAGGAUUUUCUUUGCCAAAACAUACCCAUUCAUAUGGGGUCAGCACAUUCAUGCAUGUACUUUAUGCAUAAUCCUUCCGGCUUCUUCAGCAUCAACACAUCUUAACAAAUUAAGAUCCCGGGUCCUUUUGUACAAGAUAUCACCACUUAGGAAGAAACCACUUGCAUAUCGUCUAAUGGUUCUCUUUUGAUCUCUAGUGUCUUUCUCGGGGUAUUCUUGUGUUUUCAAACUAUUUUGAUGUCAUUGUACCAUGACUGGAUACUUGGUUCUGCCUCAGUUAUUUUACAGUAAUUGUGCCUUUCCCUUAUUUGGAUUCCCAAGGGAUCAAUGUAGGCAUUGCCUGGGUAGGGCAAAAUUGAGGCUAGAGUGGCGAGUGCAUCAACUAGUUCAUUGUGACAACAUGUACCUAAACUCUAUUGAUUUGAACCACUUGCUAAGAUCUUCCACAUAUUGCCGAUAGGGAAUAAUUUUAACAUCUCCUACUUCCCAUUCUCCCUAGGCUUUCCUAAUAAUCAUAUCUGAGUCUCACAUAAUCAACAACUCUUUGACAUCUUGGUCGAUCGUCAUGUUCAUACCCAAGAUCCAGGCUUCAUAUUUGGCUGUAUUGUUUCUGCAAAAAAACCAAAGUCGGGUAGUGGCCAAGUAGUGCUGACCAGUGGGUGAGAUCAAUAUUUCUCCAAUUCCCACACCUUUUUCAUUUACUGAUCCAUAAAAUAACAUUUCCAAGCAGUCAUAUCCUCAGAUAUUGCCUCAAUCGAGAUUACCUCUUCAUCUGGGAAAUAAGUGUUCAGAGGUUGGUAUUCAUCAUCAACCGGGUUUUCGGCCAAGUGAUCUGCUAAUGCAUGGGCUUUCAUUGUCGUGCGAGUGAUGUAGACUAUGACAAAUUCGGUGAGCAGAAUCUUCCAUUUUGCUAAUCUUCCCGUGGGCAUCGGUUUUUGGAAUAUGUGUUUCAACGGAUCCAACCUAGUUAUGAGGUAGAUGGCGUAGGCUUGCAGAUAAUCUCUCAGCUUCUGAGCAACCCAAGUUAAAGCACAGCAGGUGCACUCCAGCAGAGUAUACUUGGCUUCGUAGCCAGUGAACUUCUUCCUUAAGUAGUACAUUGCUUGCUCUUUCUUUCCAGUAACAUCAUGUUGCCCGAGAACACAACUAAAAGAGUUCUCCAAAACAGUCAAGUACAAGAAUAGAGGCCUUCCUUGUUUAGGUGGGACCAAGACUGGUGGGUUGGAUAGAAACUCUUUGAUCUUAUCGAAAGCUUCCUGACAUUCAUCCGUCCAUUUGACUGCUGCAUCUUUUUCAGUAAUUUGAAUAUGGGUUCAGACGUGGAGGUUAGCUGAGCAAUGAACCGACUGAUAUAGUUCAAUCUUUCCAACAAGCUCAUCACAGCUUUCUUGGGUUUUGGAGGAGGUAAUUCCCGAAUAAAUUUUAUCUUUGUCGGAUCUAACUCAAUACCUCUCGGGCUGACUAUGAAUCCUAAAAGUUUGCACGAUGGGACCCCGAAUACACAUUUGGCUGUGUUCAGUUUCAAAUUAUAUAUUUGCAACCGCUCAAAGAACUUCCUCAGAUCCCACACAUGGUCAUCGUGAGUUUUGGACUUGAUGAUCACGUCGUCCACAUAUACCUCUAUCCUAAUAUGCAUCAUAUCAUGGAAGAUGGUGGUCAUGGCUCUCAUGUAGGUUUCCCUGGAAUUCUAGGCCAUGACCUUGUAGCAAUAGGUUCCCAGGGUGUGGUAGAAGCUAUCUUCUUUGCGUCUUCUUCAUCCAUCAAAACCUAGUGAUAUCCUGUGUAAUAGUCCACGAAGGACUGUAUCUCAUGCUUGCCGCAGUUAUCAACAAGGAUGUGGAUGUUUGGCAACGGGAAGUUAUCCUUGGGUCUUGCCGUGUUCAGAUCUCUAUAAUCCACACACACUUAGGUUUUCCCACCUUUCUUUGGCACUGGAACUACAUUGGCCAUCCAUGUGGUAAACCAGACGACUUGGAUCACCCAUGCUUCCAAUUGUUUCAUGAUCUCUUUUUUGAUCUUAUUACUAACAUCAGUAUUUAAUUUCCUCUACUUUUGCUAGAUUGGGGGAAACCGGGAUAAGUUGGCAAUUUAUGCACCACCAAAUCAACACUCAGUCCUGCCAUAUCAUCAUAUGACCACGCAAACACGUAUUUGAAAUCAAACAAGAGUUGGAUUAAUGCGUCUCGAGUUUUCUCAUUUGCGUGGAUGCUUAUUUUGGUUUCCCUGAUUUCUUUAGCACUACUCAAGUCAACCGUCUCAGUGUCAUUUAGGUUUAGCUUAGGUUUAUUUUUAAAUGUUCCUGUUCACGAUUUAUUUCUCUAAACGCCUCUUCUUAAUCGUAUUCCUGUUCUUGGUUCAUUAUUUCACAAUUAGACGGCAUGUUUGGAUCUGAGCACGAAGUCCGCAAGCAUGUCAUGUUAUUUAAAGUAGCAUUAUUGGAACUGAAAGAAGCAAUAAAAUAAAAAAAGCAUAUAUCAGAAAGAAUAAAGGAAAAUGAACGAUGAAAUGUUGAUUUCAUUUCUUGGAAUUUGAAGAUAACAGGGUUUACAUUUGGAAAUUAAAAGACAAGAAACUAAAGAAAACAUCCGAGUUACAGCUAGGAAUAACUCGCAAUGUAGAAAAAGUACCAGGACAGGUCUAUCGAGACUCCCGCCUGAUGGGUAAUCGUGGCCUUCCAAUUUUGCAGUUUGGCAUUUUGUCCCAUGUACAGCACCUCAGUGGUGCUAGGGCCCUCUCCUAGCUGAACCAUGUGGGUUUCAUGUAGUAUCUUUCUCAUUGCCCCACAUAUUUCCUCAAUCUCUUCGGUCGUAAAGGCCUCAUCCUAUUUCUUCAUUGUAAAUGUCUUGACAAAUGUCUCAUACAGAUGUGGCAGUGGUUAACACAGGACCCAUCCAUCAUGUUUUCCGUCCUUUGCCCAUUUUAUAUCAUCUGGAGUAGGUUGGAAGCCUACCCCGAAGAACUUCUCAGUGGAUGGAAGAUUAAUUGGUUCAUCUAUUCCUUGCAAGGAUUUCCCAAGUCCCUUCCCUGGUUUGAAUCCAUAUCGUAUCAUUUCUUUAGCCACCAUAAUUGAUCCAUUAGAAAGGAACGGCUGGGGGCAAGGGUUUCCCCCUUCGUACUGGUCUGCUACACAACUUCAAAGGCUUGAUAAACUAUGUGCCCGCUGCCUUCUCUCGCUUCAAGGCAUAGGACUGAGGGAUCUCGAUAAAUUUAUUGUUCAUCCCUCUCAUGGACCACAAUUUCUUGAUCCUCAUGCUCAAACUUUACCAUCUGAUGAAGAGUGGAUGGCAUAGCCCCUGCUGCAUGGAUCCAUGGUCUCCCCAAAAGAAGGUUAUAGGACGUGUCCAUAUCUAGGACUUGGAAAUUCACCUCAAAAUCAACUGGACCGAUGGUUAGAAUUAGAUCAAUCUCUCCAAUCGUGUCCCUUUAGAUACCAUUGAAAGCUUGUACGUAGACAUUGUUAGGACGAAUCAUUUCAGUCCCAAUAUCCAUGCGCUGUAGUGAUGAGAGUGGGGAGAUAUCCACCCCAGAACCUCCGUCUACCAUAACCCUUUUUUACAUAAUACUCUUCACAUUUGACAGUUAAGUGUAGGGCUUUGUUAUGUAUAUCCCCUUUCGAAGGCAAGUCAUCUGUACUGAACAAAAUCUGGUUGAUAGCGAAAAAUAUUUUUGCCAUUCUUUCUAAUUACUCCACAAAGGUUUUAGCUGGCACAUAUGCCUCAAUGAGGGUCUUGAUUAGUACCUUCUGGUGUUCAGGUAUUUCAUCAACAGAGAUAUCAAGGAGACUUGUUCAGGAAACUUUCGAAGCUGGUCAACCACUUUAUAAUCCUCCAUUUUAAUUUUUUUAAAGAAAGGUUCCGCCUUUUCAGCACUCACUGGUUUUUUAGCUGGGAAGCGUUUCCUGGUAGCGUUUUUCACUUCUUCCAAAUUGGAGUACUUUUCCAUAGGUAGUUUUCUCUUCCUGAGAAUUCGUUUCCCAUAUAUGUCACCACUGUUUUAUAGUAGUUCCAAGACACCGCGGAAAGAUCUGUCAUGGGCCUCUGUGGCACGCGGCCAAUAACCAUGGGCUCACUCAGCCUUGGUGGAUUAGUUGGCCCCCGCACUACAUAAGCUCCCUUGGGCACAUACAUCUGGGUGGUCUUGUUCUGUUCGAAUCUCUUGGGAGUACUCAAAGUCAACCGCUUUUCCUUACAGCACCGUGGAACAUAGAGAACAGCGUCUUUGGUGCGCGCUGCCCCAAUUUCUGCCUCAAUUUCCUUUUUUGAUAUGGGGUGUGUGGCUUUGUUCUUUUUCUCCCCUUCAUCUUGCUUCGGGGAAGUUUUUGGCUUUCUCUCCACAUCAGCAAUGGCAAUUAUGGCCUUCAAUGUCGAGUUGAAUUCCUUGUUUUCACAGAUGUUUCUGAUUACCGGCAUGUUGUUGUGGGUCGGCAGUGGGUUGUUGGUCAUGUAGGGGAUGUCCUUGUCCCUUAACACUAUUUUUCUAUAUUCUAUCAAAUCCUCCACAGCUCUUUUCAAGAUCCAACCAUUUUCUCUAUCGUGUCCCUCAGCUCCGGAGUGAUAGGCAUAUCGGGUGCCCCGCCGGUAGGAAGGUGAUUUUGGGUUUUGCCUGUUUGGAGGUACAGGCUGCAGUAGACUCAUUUGGACAAGCUUCAGAAACAAACCGGAGUAGGAUUCCUCGAUUGGUGUAAAAUUUUGUCCUUCUGGGUGGUUCACGAGGAUGAAAGUUAUUUUACAGAGGACGGGAGUUGUAGUGGUUUCGGUGUGGAGUCUAGUUUCUUGGGAAUGGGGAUUGGUUCCUUUUGGCUUGUUGUUGAGGACGGAAAAAAGGUUGAGAAUUCAUGACAGUAUACAACUGAGGAGCGUAGGCCAUGUCUUGGUGAGGGUAAUAUUGUUGAGGGGUCUUUUCUGGGAACAUGGAUUUGGGAGCACGGUUUCUCCUCGCACUUGAUGCUGCCAUGGAUGUUUCUUCUUUCUUCUUGACCCUUGCUACUCCUCCUGACCCGCCCUGAAUGGCUUGGGAGGUUGCUAUGAUAGCGUAUUGGCUUAGAACUCAGCCUGUUUUUAAUCCAUUUUCCACCAUUUCCCCGAUUUUGAUAGCUUCCGCGAAUAGUUUACCCAUAGCUGACAUCAUAUUCUGGAAGUAGUCAGCUUCUUGUGCUUGAAAAAACACUGUGACCAUUUCUACCUCGUCUAUCUAAGGUUUUACUCUAGAUGCUUUUUCAUUCCAUUUGAUUGCAUAUUCCCUAGAGCUUUCCGAGUACUUCUUUUUCAAGUUUAAUGAGUUUAUGUCUUGAGCAAUGUCUAUAUUGUACUGGAAUUGUUUGACAAAAUCUCUAGCAAGGUCGUUGCAAAUGUGCAAAUGAGACAUGUCUCGAUCCAUGUACCACUCGGAGGCAAUACCAACCAUACUUUCUCAAAAAUAGGCCAUGAGUAACUCUUCCCUUCCUCCGACCCCUCGCAACUGAUUGCAGUAUUUCUUGAUAUGAGUAAUGGGAUCACCAUCCCAUCGUAUUUUUCAAAUGUUGGAGUCUUGAAUUCUAUGGGAAAGUGCACAUGGGGGAACAUGCAUAGAUCAGCGUAAGACACACUUUUCUACUUGCUCAAACCUUGGAUGUUCUUGAGGCUUUGCUCCAUACUUCUCAUCUUUCUUCUGAUCUCUUCUUGCUCAGGAGUUUUGGGAGUCUUUUCUUGUCUCAGAGUGAACUCAAAUUGAGUUGGCUGAGGGUAAGUAUAAAUGGGAAAUUGAGGAGGCUCCAUUUAGAGGGUAGGUGUUUGGAAUGUAAAGGCUGAAGGGUCAAAAGUAGGCAUAGGCAGUGCAGGCUGUGUUGUGGCCGAGCAUGGGGGAACAUUGAAUAUGUUUGGGGCCGCACUGGAUAUGAACACCUGGGGGCGAACCUCAAAAGGUGUUCCCAAAAAUGAGCUGAUAUAGUUGGCUGUCCCAUGGGAUGUUUGGGUGACUGAUUGGAACAUUGGAGGUACCACUCGUUCUAGGGAAAAGUUCGGGGAACCCCAGGAUUGUGCUAUUUGGCUCUCUUCCAUUUGUCCAAGCAUCACACAUUUCCAUAACCCUAAGAUAAAGGAUACUGCUCUCUUUGGCAGCUACCGAUUCAAAGAUCGGGAUGCCCGAGAUGGGGCCAUCGUCAACAGUGGGACCCGUUGGUAGAGUCAUUUCUGAAGACAUUUCGAUACUCCCCUUUGAUCUAGUAAAGUACGGGUGUGAAGCAAGGCUACCACGAAAACCAACCACCGUUCUAUAAAAUCCCUAGACUGGAUGGGACAGCAGAAAAUGGUUAGUUUGUGACAACUAACAGAUAGGUAAUCGCACGUGGGCGUGAUGCACCUAUGCAGUUAAAUGGGUUUCUACAUGUUUUUCGACGGUUGCAUGCUUCCUCCCGGCUUUUCCUUAUUCUUUCCCACUUUCUCUCCUUUCGAUUUACAUUCCUUUUUUCUUGUUUUUACUUUCCUCUAUACUUUUCUUAUUUUUUCUUGGAGUUAUUUACAAGAUUAUGACCGAAUACAAUGAGGAUUACCUACGUAUCACGAUGCCGCAUGAAUCAGAUCAUUACGUAGUUCAAGAGAAAAUAAAUACAAAAAGUAAAGAAACGAUUUUUUGGGAAUUUUCAAUUUUCAUUACUAAAACUUCUAUUACAAAAGAUUCUAACUACUCUUUUUCUUGAAACUAAAACUACAGACUCAAAUUAAAGCAAAAAUACAGACUCAAUGAUUGAAAAGUCAGUAAAACAUUAAUGUUUCAACUACUGGGGCCCGCGGGCCAUCAUUCGGCCUCGCCGCGGUCUUAGGUGCGAUACCCCCUUGUAAUUGCUCCAAAUCACUCAUAACUUGCCACACAAAAGUCAUUACUGCAGAAAAGAAGGUGGUACGAGUUAUAUCCUCGCAUGCUUGGCACUUUAUGGUAAUCUAAUCCUGCCUUUUUCUGAAGUAAUCGCCCUAUUUUCUGGUUUCGGGCUUCUAACACUUGGGAGUCAUUAAAGUGUUGAUCUUGCAUUUGUUGUAUUUCUUGCUCCAUUUUAGCCAUCAAAUUAUAACAGUUCUCCCUAUCAGCCUUGAAAUAUUUAGCUCAUUUGGUUGCUUCAUCCUAAAGAAUAGUUACCUUUCUUCUUAAGCUCGUAAUGGUCCCUUCAUAGUUUCUCUUCAUUUGCUGCACAAAUCGCGCCCGUUCUUAUGCUUUCUUUGUCCAUCGUGCCGGAAUUUUAACUAUACUAUCUUCAGACUUUACCAGGUCUUCUUGACAUUUAAGGAUUUUCUUUUUUAGUCCACUUACAAGUCUCUCAUCAGCCCGACUUCUUUCCAAGUUAUUGGCAGUUGUUUUCAUUUUUCUGAUAUGAGCUUUAAGGGCCUCGUUUUCCUGGGUCAUUUUUUUCUUUUCUCCCUCGUCGACUGCAGUUUGAACAUCAUUCUCAACUUAAAGCUCCAUGACUUGCCUUUCUAAUUUGCUUAUUUUGACUUUGUAUUCAUUAUCUUUGGUCAAUCAGUCCCAUUGCGGUUGUGUCUCAACUGUGAAUUGUUGGACAUGUGGUCUCUUUGCACGCCUUUCAGGAAAUUGGAAUUUCUAGCCGAACCAUUCAAUGUACAUAGGGUGCACUUCACCUCUAACUCGGUCUCGUAUUACGGUCUUGGGUUCAAGAAACCUACACUCAAUCCACACUUGGCGAAUUUUUCCUUCUGGAAAUGCAGCUUUUGGACCCAAUUCAAUGGCAUGUUUACUCAAAUCUUCAUCAUUGUGGACUGUUUGAAAUCUUCCAAAUUGGCACAACACUCUGUAGGGAGCAUAAGGUUGGAUGCUCUGAAUGCCCGUUUAGAGGAUAUAAGAUACUUCCGCCGACAUGUACAUCGCUUCGGUGACGGGAAGCCAUCCAAAUGCCCACUCGAUUUUAUCGGCAGUCAAGGAUCUCAAAUGUACAAGCCAAGCUUUGGUAACUUUAGGUAAUUUAAUACCUGCUACCCAGCUUUCAAACUCUUCAAUGCAGCUUCGACCGGUCGAACUGUAAUUCAUGUACUCAACCCGUUGAUAGAGGUGUUCUUGCAUUCAUAAUUGAAGUAGAAAAUUGCAGCCUUGGAAGAAUUUUCCCCCUUCCCGACCAAUAGAAAAGGCUCGGUAGAUUUCAGACACGAUCAGAGAAACCAUAGUGUUCUUGGGUUUCUUGAUUGCAACAUUGAUUAUUCCCACAAGACCUAUUUCUAUAUUUCCAUCUUUCCGGGGACAGACUACAACACCCAAGAAAGCUACCAUAAAAGCUAAACCCCGCCUUGCCUCCCAUUUGUCUUCGUUUCUGGCAUAGGUUAGACCAGUGUUCGGCUAUUCAUAACCACGGGGGUUACCAUAUCAAUGAUACAAUAAAUGGAGUGUGCAAUACCCUUCAGAUAAAUUUUUGUCCUGAACAUCCCGACUAAUAUUUGGAUAAUCCAGAAACCUAUGGGAGACGUUGGUCUUGGUGAUAAUGGAUAUCGGCUUCUAAGGUUUCCAUUAAGGCCCAUAUAACCUGCAACUUCCUCCAAUGUAGAUGUGAGCUCAAAGUCAGAGAAACGAAACACGUUGCAAGUCGGGUCCCAAAAAGGUAUUAAAGCUUCAAUUAUGUCCGACCUUGGCUUGAUGUUUAAUAGUCCGACAAGGCCUCCCAGAACUUUCACCACUGUUUCUCUACUUCCCUUUCCUUGAUCAUUCCAUCACAUAUGGAGCUUCAAGGGGAUCUCAGUAAGGACUGUGAAGGGUUCAAUUUCAUUCGUGCUCAUCCUGCACAUUCAUUAAGGCGGUUUAAUGACUUAUUUUAACCUAAAAGAAAAAUAAAAAGCAACCCCAUUUUCUUUUUUUUUCGACAAUUUUUAUGUCAAAACCAAAACUCCAGCUUUGCAGAUAUUGCCUUUUAGCACCUCGGGGGAGAAGAAUUUAAGGUUGUGCCUGCUAACCGUUAAAAACGUUACAAGGUGAUUGUUCUUUCAAAACAGCCUUAUGGUGCCCUUUGAGGACAUUCGACUUAUUUUAAACAAGAAUGGCAUCACCUGACUUAUUUGUGACUACAAUUAAAAUUUUGUGGUUUUUGGCUAUUUUUGCAAAAAUGGAAGUUGGACCCGAUGGGGGUUACCUACGUAUCCCACAUCCGGUGAAAAUCAAACUGGAGUAGUUCGGGCAGAUUUAACAAAACCAACUAUUUUUAAAAAACAAAAGUUUUUCUUUUCCUUUUUUUCUCAUUUUUUUUCUUUUCUUUUCAUUUUUUUUCAAAAUUUCGGCAGAGUUUUUGUAUGAAAAGGUGAUCACUCUCUGCUAUUCUCUUUUCAACUCUCUCCCAUUAUUUAUAAGCCAGUCAACAUGCAGAUCCGAAGGAAAUAAAUGCACAAGUAGCAAGUAAGAUGCAUCAAGAUGGUCUUUUCAUUUCAGGUCACCUGUCCUAGACGGACCCAACCCAUGUGUUGAGUCCCCUAAGUCAUAUGAACGUGAUGCAAACAAGCGUUCCUACAAGGUAUUCAGCAUGACACUUUGCUAUACUAGGUAUAAACCUAGGUUUAUUGUUCUAGACCUGGCUUACCCGAGCGGAGAACUCGAGCCGAGGGGGGCAGCAUACCAGGAAUAUAGAAGUUUUGCCGGCUUAGCAACUUGUCUGAACCUCGUUCUAAAAUGGGAUAAGACUCUAAACAGAAGAGAAGUCACAAAAGGUGCACCAUUCUCCAUGAUGUAGAAGACUCAGAGAGAGGAAGGGUUUCGUAGCAGUUUAUAUAUACAAUUUACCAAAUAUCAAAGCCGUAAAGCAUUUAGCACAUUCGGCAAGGAACAUAUAGGAAAAUCAGAUAAAGCAAAAUAUAAUAGCUAUUCUAAGCUCAAAUUCUAGAAUUCUGAACCAAAGUUCUGGGUCCUUUUAUCCCCAAUAGAGUCACCAAAGACGUCACAGCUCGUUUUUUACACACCACGCCGAAAAGUAGUAUAUAGGGGAGCCUUUCCACUUUAAGUGACAUUAUUCGAAAUGGAAUUUAUUCAAUUUUGUUAAGAGUCACAACUUGGGAUGGUUUAUUUUCUGGUGUCUCAAGCCACCGAUUUAUUUUAAAAUCCCAAAUCGAGGAAAAUUUGAGUUUCCUUGUGAAGUCUGCGAACCAAAAAUUCUGAAUAAGAAAUUCUAUUUACCCGAGGGAAGGUGUUAGGCACCCCCGAAUUUCGUGAUUCUAGCACGGUCUCUUAAACUAUUAUAAUUAGCCUAGUAUCUGAUUUUAAUACAUGUUUCAAACCUAUGUUGCAAUUUUAAAUUAUUACCGCCAUUAAUUAAUUUUUAAGGAAAUUGAACAUCAUUUAAAACAUAUUUUUGUAUCGACGCACAUGAAAUGCACCUGCCACCAGGAACAUAUUUUAUUCGACGUCUUAGGAUUUGGAUUUGGGUCACAUGAAAUGCACACCCGAGUUUAGGAAUGUAAGAUUUUUAAAGAAUGCGCCCAAAGCGAUAAAUGCGUUGUUAACUUAACAGGAGGCCAUCGAAAUUUGCUAAAUGGCAUGUCCCGAGUUCUAAGGAUUUUAAAGAAACUAAUUUAAAUGAGGGCCACGUAUUUGUGAUUUUAUUUUGCACGGCGCACCUCAAUUAUUUUAAUGGUAUUUAACUAAAGCUUGAAGGGUCAUGGACUAUUUUGUUGUAUAAUAUGACCCUCCUCAAAUUGUUCUAAAGGUCCUAUUAAUUGACUAAAGUCAUGGGGACUAACUUCAAGCCUAAAAUUAAGCCAAGUAAGUUUGAAACUGUCGUUGCUAAUUACACUUCAACACAUGAAUUGGGCUGCAGGAGGUCAAAGUGAGGACAGCCUAAUAAUAAAUGCACCAUUAUCUUAAAAUAUGGAUAACAAAUGAUCAACUUAAAUCAAAUAUUCUUUAAUCAAGGGCUCGAUGGUUUAUGGCAUUUAAAACGGACCUGUUAACUAGCUUUUCAAAACAACCAUGAAAUUCCAGUAUUAACUUAAAUUAUAUAUGAUUUAACGAAAUGACCACAAGGAUCAAACAUGUUAACACACCUAGCCGAGUUUUGGACUCACGCUACAACAAACAAUGCCUUUCUAUUCUAUGCAACUGUACAUACCUAAAUAAGCAAAGAAGGCACCUGAACUUUCAAGAAAAAUGCCAAAUUGGAGAUCAAAACAGGGUUAACCAUAUAAAUGACUACAUAUACGACUAGGCAAAUGAAUAUAUAUAAAACAGUAGUCCAUACAUACAGUCCCUCAAUGUUCAAACGAGUUAAUAGUCCACACAUUUCCAAUAAAAUUAAAGAACAACUUGAAUCCCAAAGUACUACUACUACACUAGGGUGAACAAGCUAGGCUAAAUACCAUUACACUACACUAGGGACUUCAGGAAUUUUAAAACAUGAUUAUGGACAUUUGAAGAUGAGAAAAAGCAACCCUUCAUUCAUGAAAACUUCAGGCAACUACAGCUCUCAUAUUUGCAUCUUAUCUCCUAAAAACCAAGGAAUACCUGGCAUAAUGAAGCAAAGAAGUGAGGUACAGCAAAUGAAAACAGCAGCAGUAAUCAACAACUUUGAACCAGUUAUGAACCUAGAAAGUGAAGCAAAAUAUUCCAGAAAAUCAACUUUGAACCCAGCAAUGAACCAGAAAACCCAAAAUAGAAUUGAUUUCAAUUUGUUUCAACUAUCAGCUACCCUAACAUUGUUUUAACUUUAGAAAUCAACAGCAAGGAUCAAUGGAACAGUAUUUUUUGAAGAAAAUCUCUCAAGAUCCUAAAAAUCUCUCUCAAAUCUAGGCACUCAAAUUUCAGGUUCUCAAAAACUCUAAAAAAAUCUGCAGACUCUCUAAAUUUUUUUUAGGCUCUCCAAACUUGAUCUCAAGGGCAAGGGUGUGAUUCCUUUAUAGGCAAAUAAUUAGGGCACCUUUUAGGUUUUGUUUUGCAUUGCAACCCCUUUUUAAUUUCUGUUUUUGCGUAAGCAAUCCCUAAAUUCCUGACUUGUGGCUCAAGUUAAUACCUUAUGCAGCUUUUAAGAAGUUUCCUAAGCUGUUACACCUAAGAUUCCCUAAUUUAAUUACCCUAAUUUCCCUUUAAACUUCUGAAAAUUACUUUGACGAACCAGCCUGGAUCCAAAUGACCCAAGGCCAAUCAGACCUGGAUUUUUACACUAUGGAGCUGACCCUUAUUUUCUAAAUGGGCCAAUAAAGAUUUCAAGACUCAUAUAAACCAUCAAUCCAAUUAAGAUUCUGAGCCAACUUAACCGGAGUGCAAUCAUUUUAACAAUUUGAAUUCUAAACUAUUCAACCUAUUUAUCAUACCUAAAAUAAUGGAUCAAAGUAAUGGCCUAGGGUUAGUGAUUGAGGAAACUAUAUAAAACUAGGCAUGCAUGAAUGAGAUAGUUGCAGAAGAACAAAAACAAAAUUAAGCAAUGAGCAAAACAAUCUUGAAAUCAAAAUGAACCUAUGAACUAAAUGAAGAUCAAAAGAGAAUAAAACUAAAAGGGGUGUUAAAUUAUGGCUAACCUAGGCAUACGGAAGUAAAAUAAGAAAAACAAGAAGAUAAAAGGAAAAAGAAGUGAAGAAAAAAACCCUGAGCACACCUGUCUGAGAUGAGCAAAUAAGAAUCCGGAAUCGAUCCCUUGAGUUGGCCUUGUUAUGGGUCGAAUUAGACCUUAAUCGCGUGUUUUCAAUGAAAACACGUGACAAAAGUCCAAAUCGAACCCAAACGUCAUCCAAUUAAUCAUUUAAAAUUUUAGGGUUUCAAAUUUAGAUUAAAGAUUUGAGGAAUUUGGGUAGGAUUCAAGUGUUGGGAGUGUAAGAUUAGGGAAGAAGAGGCCAUGAGGAUGAUGGGGUGUUAAUUUGGGUAGUAUUUGGGUGGUGGCGCCGCCGGUCACGGCGGAGGGUCAGGGUUUCUGAGCAAUAUUCGAGAAGCUCAAGCAGGAUUUGAGGGACGAGGUUUGCAGAUUUGGAAAGAGGAGAAGAAGAGGAAUAUGGGGUGUUAAUUUUGUGGCCACCAGAGACCCGCCGCCGCCAUUGGCGAUUUUCGACCGACGGUUCAUGGCGGUAGACGACGGGGUUAAGUCUGGUCUUGUGAGAGGUGAUAGAGAUGAGG
rnacentral:lncRNA from 1 species